rnacentral:rRNA from 1 species
GCCGGUGGCUACGGCGGAGGGGCCACACCCGAUACCAUCUCGAACUCGGAAGUUAAGCCCUCCUGCGCUGAUGGUACUGCAUUGUAAAGUGUGGGAGAGUAGGACGCUGCCGGCA